rnacentral:lncRNA from 1 species
CCCAGACUCAAUAUUCCUUAUCCCUCAGGGAUGUUCCUUCUUAAUGUUUCUGUUCUACUCUAAAUUUCAGUCAGUUUGCUUAGACCUGAAGCAUUGGUGCAUACCUGUGAUCCCAGCUCCCCAGGAGGGUGAGGCAUGAAGAUUGCUUGAGCCCAGGCAGACUAUCUAGUUACUACAGAAACGGAUCUUCCCAAGAAUCUCUUCUGUCUCCUACACCAGACAUCAGAAAACCAGAGCCUGUGAGCCAAAUCCAGCCCAACACCUGGUUUUGUAAAUAAAGUUUUAUUGGCACACAACCACACCCAUCUGUUUAUGCAUUGUCCAGGCUGUCUGGCACAACAGCUACAGAGGGAUGUUGUUAGAAGACUGAUUCAGAAAGCUAAAGACAUUCAGCACCUACACUUCUACAAAAAUGCUUGUCGAUCUAAUCCUCACAAAUUUAGGACUUUUCCUUAUUUUCCAGUGACCAUGAAGAGGGGCUAUCUUUGUCACAGAUUCAAUGUAUCUACAAUAAUACAGGAUUACCAACUGUUCAAAAUCAAGUUAUAAAUUCUUUGAGGUCUUUUACUGAGAUGUUAGAUUCCCUUCUUGCCUUUUUUUUUUUUCUUUUCCACAACCUUUGCUAGGAAAUGAGAGAUAGAGACUGACAAAAGAGAUAGGAGAUCCUUAUCCACAGAUCAAUAGACACCUGAUGUUUCACAAAGAUCUCAAAAAUACAUGUGAGAAGAAAGAUGGCACUGUAACCCUGGAUACUCACAUGUAGGAAAAUGAAGCCAGAGCCGUAUCUCUCACAAUGACUGAAAACUCAUUCCGAAUGUAUCAAAGACUUCAACAUGAGACCAUGAAGAAAAAUAUAAGGAUAUCCCUUCAAGACACGGGCCCAGGCAAGGACUUUCAUAGGAAGACCCAUCUUCUCAUGUAAUAAGGUUCGUUUUCCCAACUGACGAUGGGACUUCAUGGAAUUAAAAUGUUUCUGUAUAGCAAAAGAAAUAGCAAACCAAGUGAAAAGACAGCCUAUGGAGUGGGAGAAAAAUCUUUUCUAGCUAGUCACCUGACAAAAGCUGAAUAUCUAGAACAUGCAAAGAGCUCAAUAAGCCUGUCGACAAAUGGGUCAGUGGAAUGAACAGA